AACGCACAUUGCGCCCAUUAGUAUUCUAGUGGGCAUGCCUAUUCGAGCGUCAUUUCGACCCUUAAGCCCCAGUUGCUUAGCGUUGGGAGUCUGCGGCCCAGGCCGCAGUUCCUCAAAGUCAGUGGCGGAGUUGUAGCACACUCUAAGCGUAGUAGUUUUCCAUUGCCUCGCUUGCAGAGCGGCCUCAGCUGCCAGCCGUAAAGCCCUAUACUUCUUAGUGGUUGACCUCGGAUUAGGUAGGAAUACCCGCUGAACUUAA
rnacentral:misc_RNA from 1 species